GGAUCUUGAUCUUGGAGGUGUGUGAUAGCGCUUUAAACAAAAGAAGAGAAACUAUUUUUAAAAUGCCUCUCAAUUACAAUCUGCUAUAGGACAGAGACAUGUAAAAGAUCCAAUCUCCGAUUCCUUCAAAGGCAAUCAUAGUGACUGUCAAGGAUCAAACAAGUCACCAAAUAAGAUGAGUCAUACUUGAAUUUCAAAAUAAUAAAAGCACAGAAAACUAGACAUUAAUGGCAAAACUACUGACAGCUUACAAGUCUCAAAGGUUAGUAUAAUUUAACAUAUAAAACAUCAACCCAGAGAAAUACAAUUUUGACAAUAAAAUUAUUGAAUGAUCUUAACUUAUUUUUCUUUUUACAAGUUUCGGCAAUUAUUUUCACCUGGAAAAACACAAAUCUUGAAUAUAAACGCAUAUGCUCCUCCAAGAUGUCAGAUUUCAAUUUAGUUACAAUUAAAAAAAAAAUGCUAUCCUUGUCAUCCAUUAGAAAUAAACUGGAUUUACAUAGUCGCAUGUACUUUGCCCAUUCCAGGGUGGACGUAUGUUUUAGUUAAGACUGAAUUGGUGUUUCAUACUUACCCUUUUGGGCUCAUUAUAUGUUUGCUCCUUGGUUCUUCUGAGCUGCUUGCUUCCUUUCUUCUCCUUUUAGAAUGUUUAACUUUUGGCCUCCUCUUAUGUUUCCUUCUUCUGCUUCUCCCAUGUUCAAUUUCACUUUCUGAAGAUGAUUCGGAAGAUGAAGAGGAACUGGAAGAGGAAUCCGAGUCUUCUGAAUGUGUUGGUUUCUUCCUUUUUUUCUCAAAAACUUUUAAUAAAUAUUAACAAAAAUA